CGGGAUGUAGCGCAGCCUGGUAGCGCACCUGACUGGGGGUCAGGGGGUCCCGGGUUCGAAUCCCGGCAUCCCGAUCA
rnacentral:tRNA from 1 species